UUGGAGGGCAAGUCUGGUGCCAGCAGCCGCGGUAAUUCCAGCUCCAAUAGCGUAUAUUAAAGUUGUUGCAGUUAAAAAGCUCGUAGUUGAAUUUCGGGGUCAGCAGGUUGGUCGUGCCACUGGUAUGCACUGGCUUCGCUGAUUCCUCCUUUCUGAAGAACUGUAAUGCCAUUAAUUUGGUGUUGCAGGGAAACAGGACUGUUACUUUGAAAAAAUUAGAGUGUUUAAAGCAGGCUUUGGCUUGAAUACAUUAGCAUGGAAUAAUGAAAUAGGACGUUCGAUCCUAUUUUGUUGGUUUCUAGGAUUGACGUCAUGAUUAAUAGGGAUAGUUGGGGGCAUUAGUAUUCAAUUGUCAGAGGUGAAAUUCUUGGAUUUAUUGAAGACUAACUACUGCGAAAGCAUUUGCCAAGGAUGUUUUCAUUAAUCAAGAACGAAAGUUAGGGGAUCGAAGACGAUCAGAUACCGUCGUAGUCUUAACCAUAAACUAUGCCGACUAGGGAUCGGAUGAUGUUAAUUUUUUAAUGACUCAUUCGGCGCCUUACGGGAAAC
rnacentral:rRNA from 1 species